rnacentral:lncRNA from 1 species
UGAUAUACCCCCUGAUAGGGGUGAACCUAGCCCUGUAGUCCAGCAAGUUUUAGAUAUGAGGGAUGACGAGUUUUCUGUUAGCCCAGUAUUGCCAUCUGAUGUGAUGCAUGCCAACAAAAAAGAUAUUCCAUGUAUAUUUAGGGUGACCACUUCAGAGUUAAAUCCCCCAGGAAGUAAGCAUUCUGUGUUAAUGUUGGCGGUGAAUGAAACGGAACGCCAACGUUGGGUCGGUGCUCUUAAUGAACU